CCUAAAAUUAUAUAUGUCGUAUUAAGCAAUUAUGAUUAUGUACGUUUAUUAUAUACGAAACCCGACUGCACCCGGCGUAAUAAUAAUAUUUAAAGCGUUCUUAAAAAAAAAAAAAAAAAAAAAAAACUUAACUGUGUUAGCCUUGGCUAUGAGAUUAUUAUUACUGUUAUUUUAUUGCCGCUCGUUGUACAUACCUGUGUGUUUAGUUAUAAUUAUAUUACGCCCGGACCGUGUUAAAAUUUUGUUAUUAUCGUUAUUUACAUUGCAUCCGUAUAUCAUAUUUUAACGACAUCGAUAAAUUAACAUACGUGAUGUCUUGACCGAACGCGUUUCGUUUUAUUGGUGCGCGCAACGUUGUGGAUAAAGUUUAUUGUUGCCUGUGUAUACACGCCU